UAUCCUACGGGAGGCAGCAGUGAGGAAUAUUGGUCAAUGGGCGCGAGCCUGAACCAGCCAAGCCGCGUGAGGGAAGACGGCCCUAUGGGUUGUAAACCUCUUUUGUCGGAGAACAAAACCCGGGACGUGUCCCGGACUGCGUGUAUCCGAAGAAAAAGCAUCGGCUAACUCCGUGCCAGCAGCCGCGGUAAUACGUAGGUGGCAAGCGUUAUCCGGAUUUAUUGGGCGUAAAGGGAACGCAGGCGGUCUUUUAAGUCUGAUGUGAAAGCCU
rnacentral:rRNA from 1 species